UACGUAGGGAGCAAGCGUUGUUCGGAUUUACUGGGCGUAAAGGGCGCGUAGGCGGCGCGGUAAGUCACUUGUGAAAUCUCUGAGCUUAACUCAGAACGGCCAAGUGAUACUGCAGUGCUAGAGUGCAGAAGGGGCAAUCGGAAUUCUUGGUGUAGCGGUGAAAUGCGUAGAUAUCAAGAGGAACACCGGUGGCGAAGGCGGGUCUCUGGGCCGAUACUGACGCUGAGGAGCGAAAGCGUGGGGAGCAAACAGG
rnacentral:rRNA from 1 species